rnacentral:rRNA from 1 species
AGAGUUUGAUCCUGGCUCAGAACGAACGCUGGCGGCGUGGCUAAGACAUGCAAGUCGAACGGACCAUUUUGAAGAGUAAUCGGAUUGAUGGUUAGUGGCGAAAGGGUGAGGAAUGAAUAGGUAACGUACCCCGAACUUCGGAAUAGUGUCAGAAAACUUCGGUUUUCAUCCGAAAGGGGCUUUAAUGCCGAAUAAUAUCAUUUGCUUUGAGGCGAGUGAUCAAAGAUUUAUCGGUUUGGGAGCGGCCUAUUUCCUAUCAGCUAGUUGGUGAGGUAAUGGCUCACCAAGGCAUCGACGGGUAGCGGGGCUGAGAGGCUGACCCGCCACAUCGGGACUGAGACACUGCCCGGACCUCCACGGAGGGCUGCAGUAACGAAUAUUGCGCAAUGGACGAGAGUCUGACGCAGCAACGCCGCGUGUAGGAUGAAGCUCCUCGGAGUGUAAACUACUGUCAGGGACUAGAAAGUAUGCUUCGGCAUAUUGAUCAAUCCCAGAGGAAGUCACGGCUAACUUCGUGCCAGCAGCCGCGGUAAUACGAAGGUGGCAAGCGUUGUUCGGAAUCACUGGGCUUAAAGCGCGCGUAGGCGGAAGAGAAAGUGUUUUGUGAAAGCCCCCGGCUUAACCGGGGAAUUGCUUAGCAAACUUCUCUUCUUGAGAUAAGUAGGGGUACAUGGAACUCUUGGUGGAGCGGUGGAAUGUGUAGAUAUCAAGAGGAACGCCAAUGGUGAAGACAGUGUACUGGGCUUAUUCUGACGCUGAGGUGCGAAAGCGUGGGGAGCGAACGGGAUUAGAUACCCCGGUAGUCCACGCCGUAAACGAUGUCUACUAGAUUGUGUGGGUUCUGACACUCUCACAGUCGAAGC